rnacentral:lncRNA from 1 species
CCAAUUAAGUUGAACUGUUCCUUUUAUAGAAGGAUUAAUUUGCUUACAUUUGCUCUCUAUCACUAUGCGGGGGUAGUUGUCCAUGAUAUCCUCCAAGAUGUAGUUUAAUCAUGGAGGGCUACUUGAUUUUUCCAUUUGAGAGUUUCCCGCCUCCGUGAAGUGGAGAUAAAAAUAUGUACCUAGUUCCGCAAUGCAGUCCUAUUGCGAAUCCUUACUGGAUUUGUUGAUUUUAACAGAUUCUCCUUGCUUCAUUUCUUUCUUUCCAUACUAAAUCCCAGUAUCCUCCUGCUCAGCAAAUCACUCCUCAUGCUUUCAUUCAUCAUUAACUUCUAAUUCAUUCAU